rnacentral:rRNA from 1 species
CUACUGGGGUAUCUAAUCCUGUUUGCUCCCCACACUUUCGCACCUCAGCGUCAAUACCAGUCCAGUGAGCCGCCUUCGCCACUGGUGUUCUUCCGAAUAUCUACGAAUUUCACCUCUACACUCGGAAUUCCACUCACCUCUCCUGGAUUCAAGUGAUGCAGUUUUAAAGGCAGUUCCGGGGUUGAGCCCCGGGCUUUCACCUCUAACUUGCAAAACCGCCUACGCGCGCUUUACGCCCAGUAAUUCCGAACAACGCUAGCUCCCUCCGUAUUACCGCGGCUGCUGGCAC